AUUGAACGCUGGCGGCAGGCCUAACACAUGCAAGUCGAGCGAGCGGCGGACGGGUGAGUAAUGUAUGGGGACUGCCCGAUAGAGGGGGAUAACUACUGGAAACGGUGGCUAAUACCGAAAACUGUCGGAUAACCCAUAUGGGAUUCGCUGGUGGGUGAGGUAAUGGCUUACCUAGGCGACGAUCCCUAGCUGGUCUGAGAGGAUGAUCAGCCACACGGGGACGGAGACACGGCCCAGACUCCGACGGAGGCAGCAGUGGGGAAUAUUGCACAAUGGGCACAAGCCUGAUGCAGCCAUGCCGCGUGUAUGAAGAAGGCCCUAGGGUUGUAAAGUACUUUCAGUCGGGAGGCGUUACCGACAGAAGAAGCACCGGCUAACUCCGUGCCAGCAGCCGCGGUAAUUC
rnacentral:rRNA from 1 species